rnacentral:rRNA from 1 species
AGAGCGAACGCUGGCGGCAGGCUUAACACAUGCAAGUCGAGCGCCCCGCAAGGGGAGCGGCAGACGGGUGAGUAACGCGUGGGAACGUACCUUUUGGUUCGGAACAACACAGGGAAACUUGUGCUAAUACCGGAUAAGCCCUUACGGGGAAAGAUUUAUCGCCGAAAGAUCGGCCCGCGUCUGAUUAGCUAGUUGGUGAGGUAACGGCUCACCAAGGCGACGAUCAGUAGCUGGUCUGAGAGGAUGAUCAGCCACAUUGGGACUGAGACACGGCCCAAACUCCUACGGGAGGCAGCAGUGGGGAAUAUUGGACAAUGGGCGCAAGCCUGAUCCAGCCAUGCCGCGUGAGUGAUGAAGGCCCUAGGGUUGUAAAGCUACUUUUAACGGGGAAGAUAAUGACGGUACCCGUAGAAUAAGCCCGGCUAACUUCGCGCCAGCAGCCGC